CUAGGAUUUGGUUUAGGAUUUAAGAUUUUUCAAGAAUUUGAUUUAGGAUUUAGGGUUUGUCUAGGAUUUAGUUUAAGACAUAAGAUUUGUUUAGGAUUUGAUUUAGGAUUUAGGAUUUGUCUAAAAUUUGAUUUAGAAUUUAAGAUUUGUCUAAGAUUUGAUUGAAAUCCAUUAGGAUUUCAAUUAGGAUUAAAUUAAAACUUGGUUAAAAUUUAUUUAAGAUAUAUUUGUCAUUAUUUUAAUAUUUUUUAGGAUUUCUUAAGGAUUAUUACAAGGUUUAUUGUGGAUUUUCUUUCAACUCUUUUAAGAUUUUUUAUUAUUUCUCUUGUAAUUUCUUUAAGAUUUUUUUUUGAAUUUGAUUAAAGUUUGUUUAGCAUUAUUAAUGUUUAAUUAGA
rnacentral:lncRNA from 1 species